UUGCUUUGGCAUCACAUAUACUAAAAUGUGUAUGACACAGAGAAAAUUAGCUUGACUCCUGUGCAAAGAUGACAUGCAAGUUUCUGAAGUAGGUAAAUAGUUU